rnacentral:rRNA from 1 species
UAAGCUCUUCAGCGCCGAUGGUAGUUGGGGGCUUCCCCCUGUGAGAGUAGGACGCCGCCAAGC